GUAGGGAAUAUUGCGCAAUGGGGGAAACCCUGACGCAGCGACGCCGCGUGAGUGAUGAAGGCCUUCGGGUCGUAAAGCUCUGUUGCAGGGGAAUAAAAAAAUGAAGGUACCCUGUGAGGAAGGAUCGGCUAACUUCGUGCCAGCAGCCGCGGUAAGACGAGGGAUCCUAGCGUUGCUCGGAAUCAUUGGGCGUAAAGAGGGCGUAGGUGGCUUGGUAAGUCAGGUGUGAAAGCCCAGGGCUCAACCCUGGAAGUGCAUUUGAUACUGCUGAGCUUGAGUGUCGGAGAGGUUACCGGAAUACCUGGUGUAGCGGUGAAAUACGUAGAUAUCAGGUGGAACACCGGAGGCGAAGGCGGGUAACUGGACGAACACUGACACUGAGGCCCGAAAGCGUGGGGAUCAAACAGGAUUAGAAACCCCAGUAGUCC
rnacentral:rRNA from 1 species